GACGAACGCUGGCGGCGUGCUUAACACAUGCAAGUCGAACGGUGAAGCGCCUUCCUUUUUGGUGGGUGUGGAUGAGUGGCGAACGGGUGAGUAACACGUGAGUAACCUGCCCCCUUCUUCUGGAUAACCGCAUGAAAGUGUGGCUAAUACGGGAUAUUCUGGGUCUGUCGCAUGAUGGGUCUGGGAAAGAUAUUGUUUCGGUGGGGGAUGGGCUCGCGGCCUAUCAGCUUGUUGGUGGGGUGAUGGCCUACCAAGGCGGUGACGGGUAGCCGGCCUGAGAGGGUGGACGGUCACACUGGGACUGAGACUCGGCCCAGACUCCUACGGGAGGCAGCAGUGGGGAAUAUUGCACAAUGGGCGCAAGCCUGAUGCAGCGACGCCGCGUGAGGGAUGGAGGCCUUCGGGUUGUGAACCUCUUUCGCCAGUGAAGCAGGCCUGCCUCGUUUGUGGGUGGGUUGACGGUAGCUGGAUAAGAAGCGCCGGCUAACUACGUG
rnacentral:rRNA from 1 species